rnacentral:rRNA from 1 species
AGCGAACGCUGGCGGCAGGCUUAACACAUGCAAGUCGAGCGGACCUUUCGGGGUCAGCGGCGGACGGGUGAGUAACGCGUGGGAACGUGCCUUCCGGUUCGGAAUAACCCUGGGAAACUAGGGCUAAUACCGGAUACGCCCUUAUGGGGAAAGGUUUACUGCCGGAGGAUCGGCCUGCGACUGGUUAGUUAGUUGGUGGGGUAACGGCCUACCAAGGCGACGAUCAGUAGCUGGUCUGAGAGGAUGAUCAGACAGACUGGGACUGAGAAACGGCCCAGACACCUGCGGGAGGAGGGAGUGGGGUAUAUUGGAGAGUGGGCGCAAGCCUGAGCCAGCCAUGCCGCGUGAGUAAUGAAGGCCUUAGGGUUGUAAAGCUCUUUUGUCCGGGACGAUAAUGACGGUACCGGAGGAAUAAGCCCCGGCUAACUUCGUG